CCGCGUGUGCGAUGAAGGCCUUCGGGUUGUAAAGCACUUUUGGCAGGAAAGAAAUCGCACCAAUUAAUACUUGGUGUGGAUGACGGUACCUGCAGAAUAAGCACCGGCUAACUACGUGCCAGCAGCCGCGGUAAUACGUAGGGUGCAAGCGUUAAUCGGAAUUACUGGGCGUAAAGCGUGCGCAGGCGGUUCGGAAAGAGAGGUGUGAAAUCCCAGGGCUCAACCUUGGAACUGCACUUUUAACUACCGAGCUAGAGUAUGUCAGAGGGGGGUGGAAUUCCGCGUGUAGCAGUGAAAUGCGUAGAUAUGCGGAGGAACACCGAUGGCGAAGGCAGCCCCCUGGGAUAAUACUGACGCUCAUGCACGAAAGCGUGGGGAGCAAACAGGAUUAGAUACCCUGGUAGUCCACGCCCUAAACGAUGUCAACUAGCUGUUGGGGCCUUCGGGCCUUAGUAGCGCAGCUAACGCGUGAAGUU
rnacentral:rRNA from 1 species